rnacentral:rRNA from 1 species
AUACGUAGGGGGCGAGCGUUGUCCGGAAUGAUUGGGCGUAAAGGGCGCGUAGGCGGCCCGGUAAGUCUGGAGUGAAAGUCCUGUUUUUAAGAUGGGAAUUGCUUUGGAUACUGUCGGGCUUGAGCGCAGGAGAGGUAAGUGGAAUUCCCAGUGUAGCGGUGAAAUGCGUAGAGAUUGGGAGGAACACCAGUGGCGAAGGCGACUUACUGGACUGUAACUGACGCUGAGGCGCGAAAGUGUGGGGAGCAAACAGGAUUAGAUACCCUGGUAGUCCACACUGUAAACGAUGAAUGCUAGGUGUAGGGGGUAUCGACCCCUUCUGUGCCGCAGUCAACACAAUAAGCAUUCCGCCUGGGGAGUACGGCCGCAAGGUUGAAACUCAAAGGAAUUGACGGGG